GAGUUUGAUCAUGGCUCAGAUUGAACGCUGGCGGCAGGCUUAACACAUGCAAGUCGAGCGGUAACAGGGGAAGCUUGCUUCCCGCUGACGAGCGGCGGACGGGUGAGUAAUGCUUAGGAAUCUGCCCAGUAGUGGGGGAUAGCCCGGGGAAACCCGGAUUAAUACCGCAUACGUCCUACGGGAGAAAGCAGGGGAUCUUCGGACCUUGCGCUAUUGGAUGAGCCUAAGUCGGAUUAGCUAGUUGGUGGGGUAAAGGCCUACCAAGGCGACGAUCCGUAGCUGGUCUGAGAGGAUGAUCAGCCACAUCGGGACUGAGACACGGCCCGAACUCCUACGGGAGGCAGCAGUGGGGAAUAUUGGACAAUGGGGGCAACCCUGAUCCAGCCAUGCCGCGUGUGUGAAGAAGGCUUUCGGGUUGUAAAGCACUUUCAGUAGGGAGGAAAACCUUAUGGUUAAUACCCAUGAGGCUUGACGUUACCUACAGAAGAAGCACCGGCUAACUCCGUGCCAGCAGCCGCGG
rnacentral:rRNA from 1 species